rnacentral:rRNA from 1 species
GACGAACGCUGGUGGCGUGCUUAACACAUGCAAGUCGAACGGGAUUUAGUAAACAGAAGCCUCGGUGGAAGAUUACUAAUGAGAGUGGCGAACGGGUGAGUAACGCGUGAGCAACCUGCCUAUGACAGUGGGAUAGCCUCGGGAAACCGGGAUUAAUACCGCAUAAAAUCGUAGAAACACAUGUUUUAACGGUCAAAGAUUUAUCGGUCAUAGAUGGGCUCGCGUCUGAUUAGCUAGUUGGUGAGAUAACAGCCCACCAAGGCGACGAUCAGUAGCCGGUCUGAGAGGAUGAACGGCCACAUUGGAACUGAGACACGGUCCAAACUCCUACGGGAGGCAGCAGUGGGGAAUAUUGCACAAUGGGGGAAACCCUGAUGCAGCGACGCCGCGUGAACGAAGAAGGUAUUCUUAUCGUAAAGUUCUGUCCUAUGGGAAGAUAAUGACAGUACCAUAGAAGAAAGCUCCGGCUAAAUACGUG